rnacentral:rRNA from 1 species
CCUACGGGCGGCAGCAGUGGGGAAUAUUGGACAAUGGGCGAAAGCCUGAUCCAGCCAUGCCGCGUGUGUGAAGAAGGCCUUCGGGUUGUAAAGCACUUUCAGUGGGGAAGAAAGCCUUGGGGCUAAUACCCUCGAGGAAGGACAUCACCCACAGAAGAAGCACCGGCUAACUCCGUGCCAGCAGCCGCGGUAAUACGGAGGGUGCGAGCGUUAAUCGGAAUUACUGGGCGUAAAGCGCGCGUAGGCGGUCUGAUAAGCCGGUUGUGAAAGCCCCGGGCUCAACCUGGGAACGGCAUCCGGAACUGUCAGGCUAGAGUGCAGGAGAGGAAGGUAGAAUUCCCGGUGUAGCGGUGAAAUGCGUAGAGAUCGGGAGGAAUACCAGUGGCGAAGGCGGCCUUCUGGACUGACACUGACGCUGAGGUGCGAAAGCGUGGGUAGCAAACAGGAUUAGAUACCCUAGUAGU